rnacentral:rRNA from 1 species
CUAAAUGCGGAAGAGAUAAGUGCUGAAAGCAUCUAAGCACGAAACUUGCCCCGAGAUGAGUUCUCCCUGAGACUUUAAGUCUCCUGAAGGAACGUUAAAGACGAUGACGUUGAUAGGCCGGGUGUGUAAGCGCAGCGAUGCGUUGAGCUAACCGGUACUAAUGAACCGUGAGGCUUAACCUU